ACCCCUCUGGUGUAUCGGUUAACAUACCGGAUUCUCAUUCCGGUGCGCAGGGUUCGACUCCCUGGGGGGGUG